rnacentral:misc_RNA from 1 species
AACGCACCUUGCGCUCCUUGGUAUUCCGAGGAGCAUGUCUGUUUGAGUGUCAUUAAAUUCUCAACCUUAUCAGUUUUCUGUAUAAGGCUUGGAUGUGGGGGUCUGCAGGUCCACUACCGUGGUCUGCUCCUCUAAAAUGUAUUAGCUGGGUUCAGUUACCUUGUCUAUUGGUGUGAUAAUUAUCUACAUCAUUGGCAGUUUAGCUUAUAGACCUGCUUCUAACCGUCCUUUGGACAAUACCUUGACAUUUUUGACCUCAAAUCAGAUAAGACUACCCGCUGAACUUAA